AGCGAACAGACGAGGAGCUUGCUCCUCUGACGUUAGCGGCGGACGGGUGAGUAACACGUGGAUAACCUACCUAUAAGACUGGGAUAACUUCGGGAAACCGGAGCUAAUACCGGAUAAUAUAUUGAACCGCAUGGUUCAAUAGUGAAAGACGGUUUUGCUGUCACUUAUAGAUGGAUCCGCGCCGCAUUAGCUAGUUGGUAAGGUAACGGCUUACCAAGGCAACGAUGCGUAGCCGACCUGAGAGGGUGAUCGGCCACACUGGAACUGAGACACGGUCCAGACUCCUACGGGAGGCAGCAGUAGGGAAUCUUCCGCAAUGGGCGAAAGCCUGACGGAGCAACGCCGCGUGAGUGAUGAAGGUCUUCGGAUCGUAAAACUCUGUUAUUAGGGAAGAACAAAUGUGUAAGUAACUAUGCACGUCUUGACGGUACCUAAUCAGAAAGCCACGGCUAACUACGUGCCAGCAGCCGCGGUAAUACGUAGGUGGCAAGCGUUAUCCGGAAUUAUUGGGCGUAAAGCGCGCGUAGGCGGUUUUUUAAGUCUGAUGUGAAAGCCCACGGCUCAACCGUGGAGGGUCAUUGGAAACUGGAAAACUUGAGUGCAGAAGAGGAAAGUGGAAUUCCAUGUGUAGCGGUGAAAUGCGCAGAGAUAUGGAGGAACACCAGUGGCGAAGGCGACUUUCUGGUCUGUAACUGACGCUGAUGUGCGAAAGCGUGGGGAUCAAACAGGAUUAGAUACCCUGGUAGUCCACGCCGUAAACGAUGAGUGCUAAGUGUUAGGGGGUUUCCGCCCCUUAGUGCUGCAGCUAACGCAUUAAGCACUCCGCCUGGGGAG
rnacentral:rRNA from 1 species